ensembl:snRNA U1 U1 spliceosomal RNA
AUACUGACCUGGCAAGGGAGAUACCAUGAUCACAGAGGUGGUUUUCUGAGGGCAAGCCUUAUCCAUUGCACUCUGGUUGUGCUGACCCCUGCAAUUUCCGCAAAUGUCGGAAACUCCACUGCAUAAUUUGUGGUAGUGGGGGCAGGACAGGAGGAAAGCCCCAG